GUGUCAGCCGCCGCGGUAAUACGAGGGGGGCAAAUGUUGUUCGGAAUCACUGGGCGUAAAGGGAGCGUAGGCGGGGUCUUAAGUAAAGUGUUUAAUCCCGGGGCCCAACCCCGGACCGGCAUUUUAAACUGGGACUCUUGAAUAGUGGAGAGGUCGGUGGAAUUGGAGGUGUAGCGGUGGAAUGCGUAGAGAUCUCCAAGAACACCAGUUGCGAAGGCGGCCGACUGGACACAUAUUGACGCUGAGGCUCGAAAGCAUGGGGAGCAAACAGGAUUAGAUACCCCAGUAGUCC
rnacentral:rRNA from 1 species